AACGAACGCUGGCGGCAUGCCUAACACAUGCAAGUCGAACGAGACCUUCGGGUCUAGUGGCGCACGGGUGCGUAACACGUGGGAAUUUGCCUCGGGGUAUGGAAUAACUCAGGGAAACUUGAGCUAAUACCAUAUAAUGUCUUCGGACCAAAGAUUUAUCGCCCUGAGAUAAGCCCGCGUAGGAUUAGCUAGUUGGUGGGUAAAGGCUCACCAAGGCGACGAUCCUUAGCUGGUCUGAGAGGAUGAUCAGCCACACUGGGACUGAGACACGGCCCAGACUCCUACGGGAGGCAGCAGUGGGGAAUAUUGGACAAUGGGCGCAAGCCUGAUCCAGCCAUGCCGCGUGUGUGAAGAAGGCCUUCGGGUUGUUAAGGACACUUUCAGCGAGGAGG
rnacentral:rRNA from 1 species